rnacentral:rRNA from 1 species
UACGGAGGGUGCAAGCGUUGUCCGGAAUCACUGGGCGUAAAGGGCGCGUAGGCGGCUCGGUAAGUAGGGGGUGAAAUCCUGCGGCUCAACCGCAGGGCUGCCUUCUAAACUGUCGAGCUCGAGCACGGUAGAGGCAGAUGGAAUUCCCGGUGUAGCGGUGGAAUGCGUAGAGAUCGGGAAGAACAUCAGUGGCGAAGGCGGUCUGCUGGGCCGUUGCUGACGCUGAGGCGCGACAGCGGUGGGGAGCAAACAGGAUUA